rnacentral:rRNA from 1 species
AUUGGACGCUGGCGGCAUGCCUUACACAUGCAAGUCGAACGGCAGCGGACCUUCGGGUGCCGGCGAGUGGCGAACGGGUGAGUAAUAUAUCGGAACGUACCUUUCAGUGGGGGAUAACGUAGCGAAAGUUACGCUAAUACCGCAUAUUCUGUGAGCAGGAAAGCAGGGGAUCGCAAGACCUUGCGCUGAUUGAGCGGCCGAUAUCAGAUUAGCUAGUUGGUGAGGUAAAGGCUCACCAAGGCGACGAUCUGUAGCGGGUCUGAGAGGAUGAUCCGCCACACUGGAACUGAGACACGGUCCAGACUCCUACGGGAGGCAGCAGUGGGGAAUUUUGGACAAUGGGCGCAAGCCUGAUCCAGCCAUGCCGCGUGAGUGAAGAAGGCCUCGG